rnacentral:rRNA from 5 species
AAAUUGAAGAGUUUGAUCAUGGCUCAGAUUGAACGCUGGCGGCAGGCCUAACACAUGCAAGUCGAACGGUAACAGGAAGCAGCUUGCUGCUUUGCUGACGAGUGGCGGACGGGUGAGUAAUGUCUGGGAAACUGCCUGAUGGAGGGGGAUAACUACUGGAAACGGUGGCUAAUACCGCAUAACGUCGCAAGACCAAAGAGGGGGACCUUCGGGCCUCUUGCCAUCAGAUGUGCCCAGAUGGGAUUAGCUUGUUGGUGAGGUAACGGCUCACCAAGGCGACGAUCCCUAGCUGGUCUGAGAGGAUGACCAGCCACACUGGAACUGAGACACGGUCCAGACUCCUACGGGAGGCAGCAGUGGGGAAUAUUGCACAAUGGGCGCAAGCCUGAUGCAGCCAUGCCGCGUGUAUGAAGAAGGCCUUCGGGUUGUAAAGUACUUUCAGCGGGGAGGAAGGUGUUGUCGUUAAUAACCACAGCAAUUGACGUUACCCGCAGAAGAAGCACCGGCUAACUCCGUGCCAGCAGCCGCGGUAAUACGGAGGGUGCAAGCGUUAAUCGGAAUUACUGGGCGUAAAGCGCACGCAGGCGGUCUGUCAAGUCGGAUGUGAAAUCCCCGGGCUCAACCUGGGAACUGCAUUCGAAACUGGCAGGCUUGAGUCUUGUAGAGGGGGGUAGAAUUCCAGGUGUAGCGGUGAAAUGCGUAGAGAUCUGGAGGAAUACCGGUGGCGAAGGCGGCCCCCUGGACAAAGACUGACGCUCAGGUGCGAAAGCGUGGGGAGCAAACAGGAUUAGAUACCCUGGUAGUCCACGCCGUAAACGAUGUCUACUUGGAGGUUGUGCCCUUGAGGCGUGGCUUCCGGAGCUAACGCGUUAAGUAGACCGCCUGGGGAGUACGGCCGCAAGGUUAAAACUCAAAUGAAUUGACGGGGGCCCGCACAAGCGGUGGAGCAUGUGGUUUAAUUCGAUGCAACGCGAAGAACCUUACCUGGUCUUGACAUCCACGGAAGAAUUCAGAGAUGGAUUUGUGCCUUCGGGAACCGUGAGACAGGUGCUGCAUGGCUGUCGUCAGCUCGUGUUGUGAAAUGUUGGGUUAAGUCCCGCAACGAGCGCAACCCUUAUCCUUUGUUGCCAGCGGUCCGGCCGGGAACUCAAAGGAGACUGCCAGUGAUAAACUGGAGGAAGGUGGGGAUGACGUCAAGUCAUCAUGGCCCUUACGACCAGGGCUACACACGUGCUACAAUGGCGCAUACAAAGAGAAGCGACCUCGCGAGAGCAAGCGGACCUCAUAAAGUGCGUCGUAGUCCGGAUUGGAGUCUGCAACUCGACUCCAUGAAGUCGGAAUCGCUAGUAAUCGUGGAUCAGAAUGCCACGGUGAAUACGUUCCCGGGCCUUGUACACACCGCCCGUCACACCAUGGGAGUGGGUUGCAAAAGAAGUAGGUAGCUUAACCUUCGGGAGGGCGCUUACCACUUUGUGAUUCAUGACUGGGGUGAAGUCGUAACAAGGUAACCGUAGGGGAACCUGCGGUUGGAUCACCUCCUUACCUUAAAGAAGC